CGGUUUUAGGUGGCGGGUGGCCAACAAUUGGGCCUUUCUUUGGUUGCACACAAUUUUGUGUCGAAUCAGUAAGUGUUUAUUUGUUAUGGACACCACGGCGAAACAAAAUGAGAUGAGUUUCACUUAUAGAGUUUGUGGAUGGCACUCAUUUUAAACCAACGGAGACGCGUCAAGCAAGCAAUCGCGCCGGCAUAGCAGCCCCUCGGUAGUGGCCUGUAAAGUUGUGGAUCAAGUCACUACACUUUAAGUCAAAAACUCAGCCAUCGGGCAUUGGGCCAGCAUAACAGUUUCUGCACAGGGCAGAAAGCAUCCGUUAUUGGGAUUAUGUACCAGGAGAGCUUCGAGUGGAUUCGUCACUGGAUUUAAGUUCUGUUUGGCGAUUUGGAUUGUUCGUGUACGGAACGAGGAGGAAAGCCGAAGGACGCGGCCGCAUCACGUCACUUCUCCCGGCCGGAAAGCGGGGAGCUAACGGCACAGCGCUGCACCGCAGGACGCCGCUGAGAAGGACCGGUUACAUCUUCAGGCGCCGAGCGUUUUUCAGAGCAAAUUGUGGGAAAUGUGGCUCAGGCCUUAGUGUCUGCUCUGUCGAGGGAACUUGGUGGCAAUUUAAACACCUCUGCUGCAACAUCAGGUUCAUCUGUUAGCCAAAGCAACAUAGGAAACACUUCCCGCCCUUAUACCUCAACUUCAACUACAAGAGUUAACCAAGCUUUAAAAAGGCAAUUUCCAAACCUUUUUAAUAAGCCAGAGGCCAAGAAAGGAAAAGCAAGGAUCAGCAUCCCCAGCUGUCCAAAAAAAACCUCAAACCUUCCCAUAUAUGUUCUACCAGGCCCCACCAAUUUGACCCUAGAGCUUCAGAGGAGCUUUUCUUAGCCCAUGCUGGAUUAGGAAAAAGAUUGUUGACUGUCUCAGAAGAGAGCAAACAUGAGGAGAUUGUCAGACAGAUGGAGAAGUUUAUAAAGCUCAAACCACUGAAUGGAAGAUGGAUGUUCUACAAAGCAUGAGGUGGAGGCGGUCAGAGAAAUCUGGUUGAGAUACCCAUGGAUGCAGAGGGUUAUAGUGGCCAGCAACUUCGAUCUGCUUCAAAUAAUGGAAAGAUAGUUCUUUUCUUGGUGCCGCUCCAGGAGGAAAUGGACACAGACCCACUACCCUUUGAUGCUGCAGAGUUUUCCAGAAUGCCUCAGGUGCCCUGUGUGGCAUGCAACACAACCAUGCCACUACAAAUGCUGGCACUGCAUGCUGGAGUUUGCAAACCAAUGGCAAAAGUAAGUUUUUUAAUGCCAUCUAUUUGUAAUUCAACAUGUCUACUGUAAAUUUCUUGGUUUGGGGUUUAGUUGAUAUCUGUUUGCCUAUGUGUGUUGCAAUACCUACAGUAAUCUUUCAAAUUUAAACAGGAUCAUUGUAAACCUAUAGAGGUUCAUGAGGAUGAGGAUAGUGAAUUUGACGUAUUGGUUGAACAAGAAGCAACAAUGGAAGAUUUGGGUGAAAGAGAGGUAUUUCUAGGAUUCUGUUCAUCAGAGUUUUGUCAAAGGUUGGCUAGCCUCUACAGGAGGAGACCAAAGUGU